CCUACGGGAGGCAGCAGUGAGGAAUAUUGGUCAAUGGGCGGAAGCCUGAACCAGCCAAGUAGCGUGCAGGAUGACGGCCCUACGGGUUGUAAACUGCUUUUGUACGGGAAUAACGCGCCUUACGUGUAGGGCGUUGCAUGUACCGUAUGAAUAAGGACCGGCUAAUUCCGUGCCAGCAGCCGCGGUAAUACGGAAGGUCCGGGCGUUAUCCGGAUUUAUUGGGUUUAAAGGGUGCGUAGGCGGAUUUUUAAGUCAGCGGUAAAAUGUCCGGGCUCAACCCGGGCCGGCCGUUGAAACUGGGGAUCUUGAGUGGGCGAGAGGUAUGCGGAAUGCGUGGUGUAGCGGUGAAAUGCAUAGAUAUCACGCAGAACUCCGAUUGCGAAGGCAGCAUACCGGCGCCCAACUGACGCUGAGGCACGAAAGCGUGGGGAUCGAACAGGAUUAGAUACCCGUGUAGUC
rnacentral:rRNA from 1 species